AUGUCCAAGUUAGUAGUUGUGGAAUGCAUAGAGACCAAACUCUACUUAAAAACUUUAGCCAUAUUCAUCACAAGACAACCUAACACUUGUUCCAAUCUACAUACACCUUCAGAUCAUCAAUUCCCUUUAACAUUGAUUAAGCUCAAACCAUGAAUCAAGCAAAACAUUGUUGAAGAACUCAUUUGGUUUAAAGGACAAGGCUGAGAAACAAAGA
rnacentral:lncRNA from 1 species